AAUGGACGCUGGCGGCAUGCCUAACACAUGCAAGUCGAACGAGAACACUUCUUCGGAAGUAAGUACAGUGGCGAACGGGUGAGUAACGCGUAAGGAUCUACCUUUUUAGUGGGAAUACCUUCGGGGAAACUGGAGUUAAUACCGCAUGAAUCUUGCGAGAUAAAGACGGCCUCUUUGCUGUCGCUAAAAGAUGAACUUGCGUACUAUUAGUUAGUUGGUGGGGUAAAGGCCUACCAAGACGAUGAUGGUUAGCCGGCCUGAGAGGGUGAUCGGCCACAUUGGGACUGAGAUACGGCCCAGACUCCUACGGGAGGCAGCAGUGGGGAAUAUUGCACAAUGGGCGCAAGCCUGAUGCAGCAAUGCCGCGUGAAGGAUGAAGGCUUUCGAGUCGUAAACUUCUGUUAAGUGGGAAGAAAGACAUGGCGUUAAUAGCGUCGUGGGAUGACGGUACCACUAGAGAAAGCUCCGGCUAACUUCGUG
rnacentral:rRNA from 1 species